UUUUUUAUACUUAUAGCGAGAGUUUUGAGCUCUCGUCCUUGUGGUACAACUUUGCAUGCACGCAUGCGCGUUUGAUAUCAUAUUUUAUAAUAAAAUUUUUUCUAAGUCUUUUGGCGGGAAACGUUUGUAUAUGUAAAGUUCACUUGCUACCUCUUUCUUUCAGAUGUCUUGAAAAUGACAAGUUUUAAGAAGUCGCCAAAGAAAAAUUGUCAACCUUGGAAGGAAGGCAAAAAUUGAUGUGGUGGUUUUUUUUUCUUGUCUGGUACUCGUCUGUGUCUGGCAUCUGCAAAAGAGUCUUGUAAGCAUGGUUUUCAGUAAACUGACACAAGUUUGUAACAUGAUAAAGUCGAUUUAUUUUGUAAGAUUGAUAUUACAGUACAAAUCUUUCGCGUUCAAUAGAAAACAGUGUACACGUACACGCUAAGUCCGUAACUCUUCGUCCUCUUACCUCCGCCAUAUUCUGAAGAUGUUAUGAUCGUAAUAAAACCUUCAUUUGCGAAUCCUGUGUUAUUUUCCUCUAAUAGCUACAACUUUCUUGAGUUACCGCGAUAAUCGCAAUAUGUGGAACUAGAUUAUGAACUAAUGACCCGCGACAGAGUUAAUUACUAAACCUUUGAGAAAAAUAAAAGAAUUACAUACCGCCGCUGUUUUCCUUCGACAACUACAAAGUUUACGAAUAAUUAAUAGACUUGAAGAAGAUUUAAAAAUUCUUUCAACAUAUAACUGCCACUAAGUCUAAAUAAACUUAGAAAUUCCUAUUCGCGAUUUGCUGCAAAAAGUAAGUACGAAAGAUUGAAGGGUUUUAAGCGAGCCGCGCUGUACGUAAACAACAACAGUAACAUGUAAAUUAUAACGAUCACAAUGACAUUCGAUAAAAUUACCAUUUGCACUGUUUUUGGAAUGAACAAUUUGAAUGACUAUGAACUUCGCGGAUAUUCCAGAUCGUAAACAUUAACUUUGGGUGAGAAAAUGCGUCAUCCUUUUCAUUGCCGCGGCUUACAAACCAAAUAAAUUCAUCGGCACAUGCACAGGAGCAAUUUUUGUCCCUGCUCGAUUGGGAAUAGUGAAGUAAAGAAAAUUGAAAUUUCCAUUUUUCUUUCACAAGGAGCCAUUGAAACUUGCACCGCA